AGCAUUUACGACCACUUAUUUUCAUCAGAAAAAAAACAAAAGAAAUAAGCAUCUCUGAUACUGAUUGUAACAUUCCUAGUUUUGUAACUCGAAAAGUUUUCCUAUUUCACUGGUUGCUGAUUUUAAGCUUGAGUAACCUGUCCAUUUUUUUAAACACCAAUAUUUAUAGUCAUAUUGUCAGUUGCAUUUGUUUCUUAACCGUCUGCAGUUUAAUCUUCGUUUCUCCAUUUAUUUACUUGUGCAAUUAACCGCUUAAAUUGUUCCCGUUGCAGGUUGCCAGCGUGACAUUUGACUUGCUUUUGCUGUUGGUUCUAGGAUCAUACUUGAUUACACUUUUCAGUUUUCCUUUUUAUCACCACCAGGGGUCUUGACGAUCUUAUUAGUCUAUUCCGUCGCCCCCCAUCACAGAAAGUAAAAACCGCUUGAUUCCUGAAGCAGGACUUUUCGGCAUCAGGUGCUUGUGAAUCAAGAAGCAGGCGUUACUUUUUGUAAUCUUAAGGAAGCUCAUUUUCGGCAAGUUGUUAUCAGUGGUUCAAUGUAUCGUCAUGUAAACAUUUAGCAUUUCAUGGAAAAGCUCCACAUAUUUUGCUAUGGUAGGUUUCCCAUAGUCAUUUUUUUAUUGAGAUAAGAAUGUCAUUCUCGCAGCCGGCUUUUCUCAUAGAAUUAUGAGUUCUAAACAUGUAAACCAGCUGACGUAGGGCGUCAAUUUUGGCAGAUUGAAUGUAUUUAAGU